GACGAACGCUGGCGGCGUGCCUAACACAUGCAAGUCGAACGGAGUUUGUUUGUUAGAUUCCUUCGGGAUGACGACAUUUAAACUUAGUGGCGGACGGGUGAGUAACGCGUGAGCAACCUGCCUUACAGAGGGGGACAACAGUUGGAAACGACUGCUAAUACCGCAUAACGUAUCGAGGGGACAUCCCCUUGAUACCAAAGGAGCAAUCCGCUGAAAGAUGGGCUCGCGUAUGAUUAGAUAGUUGGUGAGGUAACGGCUCACCAAGUCGACGAUCAUUAGCCGGACUGAGAGGUUGAACGGCCACAUUGGGACUGAGACACGGCCCAGACUCCUACGGGAGGCAGCAGUGAGGAAUAUUGGGCAAUGGGGGAAACCCUGACCCAGCAACGCCGCGUGAAGGAAGAAGGCUUUCGGGUUGUAAACUUCUUUUAGUAGGGACGAAGAACGUGACGGUACCUACAGAAAAAGCAACGGCUAACUACGUG
rnacentral:rRNA from 1 species